UCGGCCCAAAUCCAAAAAUCCAACACACUACAACCACAAAAACCUGUCAGCUAUGUCAAGACCAAAUAAGUAAAGUGGCCGCCUCUUCACUUUCUUCUUCAUCUCAUCGAUGAAUUCGACGAUCAGAAAAUGUCCAGCUUCUUCUAUCCUCUUCCUCGUUAAAAUUCGGUUCCACACAGAGAUGAUGAAACCUUUCUGAGUUUGUUGUUGUUCUUCACUGCUUCUCAGCUUCAAUCUUAUGUAUUUGACUUAGAAUUGAAAAGAUUAUUCUCUUCUGAGGUUUGAAAGUUUCAAUCCAAAGUUUAGAUUGAGCUUUGAGUGCAUUUUAUCUUGCGCGUUUAAUGUCAUGAAAUUACCCAAUCGGAGACUAAUCCAUCUUAACCAACACACAUCCAUACCUCCUGACCUCAGAUAAUUCUUUCCUUUUCUCUUCUUCCUUAUUUACCUGAUUCUAUUUGAGAUUUUCACCACUUCAUCUUUUUUAACAGGUUGAGCUCAAACAAGGAGCUAAUACCACUGUCCUAAAAAUCUGAAGCAAGCUUUUAUCCCAACAAAUCAGGUAAAUGAUACAUUCAACCUUGUUUCUCUCUUUCACUUCCUGCACUUCAGUACUUAUUGUUGUUUCUUAUUCCAUUUGCAUUAUGAUGGUGUUCCUGCUUGACUAUAUUUCGAAAUGGUGGCAUGUAUGUCAUGACGAAAAAGAUAAGAUCUUAUGUUAUACUAUAUCUAUCAUGUUGGAUAAUUCACAAAUACUGAAGUGUAAAUGUCAUGAACAAUUUUUCACUCUGUUCCUCAUUAAAACUUUUUUCUUUUUUUCUUUUCUACCUCUCCUCUAUUAAUUCCAAUUAGUUCAUAAUACCUCUCUCAUUGAUUAUCACAUUUCAAUAUAUAUAUAUAUAUGCAAAAUAAUUUUAAAGAUACAAAAGGGGAAAAACAUCAUGAAAAAUAAGAAGGAUAUCAACUAUAUUUAAUGCUAAUUUUUUUUAAUUAGAAGGUGAGGUUUAAGGGUAUGUUUUAUUCAUAAGUGAAAUUGUACCGAAUCCCAGUCCAAAAGUGAUCUAGCCCAAAGUGGAAAAACACAAAAGCAAAAAACAAAAAGAAAAAUGAAGGAAAGUGACCUCCUAAAAACAAAACAAAAGAAAAAGAUAAAAGAGUAUCUAAGCGGAGAAGAAUAUUCUCGAAGCUUGACUCUUCGUUUCCACCGCCAUAUGCUGGAGCUCCACAUCACAUUUGACGAGCAAAAGGAGAUCUACAAAUGUUUUGUCCAGAAGGAUCCGACACAUAUACUCUCAACUGUGAUCGAUGGGACCUCCAAAGCCGUCAAAUCAAAUGUUGAGGAAGGUAGAUUCUCUACCUUGGAGGGUUACAACUUGUUCCUGUUGUGCAUCUCAAACUGAUGUUGAUUUACUCUCUCCCUUUUUAGAAACUCCUCCAAUUUGUCACCGGUGUGGGGGAGCUCUUCCCAAACGUAAGAUUGCAAAGAACCUCUUUUUAAUAUCUAUUUGUGCAUAAAUUAUAUUUAAAUCAUUUUUUGAUAUGACUUUCCAACCGAAAUGGUGGGUUUCCUAUCUAAUCGUCGUCGAUUUGACCGCCGAGAUGAAUUUUUGAUCAAAAUGUAAAUCUGGGCGUGCAGGGAGUUGAAAUAUCUUUGACUUAAAGAGUUAACUUAAGUAUGAUCAAGUCAAAAAUCUACUCCCAACCAUUGACGGGUUGAUCUCUGAUGGAGAUUGAUACCACCAUCUAAAAACUAAAUCUUCAAAGAGAUAACUUACACAAUACUUUGAAGGUACGAAGUGUUCACUAUGACUAGAAGGAGAAGAAAUGGACUAAUGCAGCAGUUAAACUAGAUUUGUAUCUCUUAGGUCCAGAUUUUGUAUCACAUGAAUGCCCCUAAGCUCCCACUAGGUGAGUAAUACUUCAGACCAAAUGAAAUUACUUCAGAAUCUGAAAGCAUACAUCAGUAAAUUAGCAAGUAUGUUAGAUCUAUUUGUCUCCUAUUUAUUGUUGAAAUGAACUGUUCCAUCUAAGACCUUGAACCAACAUUGGAUAUCCUUGAGUAUAUGUAUGUUUGAUCCUCAUAUAAGGAAGUGUUAUUCUUGUCUAGGUUAAUGAUUGAUUUGCCUAUCCUUGGAAUUACCUAAAAAGAAUUAAACUAAUAAUUACCUGCAAAAACAAAACUUAAGUUAGAAAAAAAAUCACCAAGAGUAUUUUUCUCUCUUAAGGAAAGUUAUUCUCUUACUGAAAUAGCAUUUCUUAUUAUGUUGUUGGAGUUUCCCUCCAUUGUUACUCUGUGGGAUCUCCAAUUUUCCAUUAAGAAUGUGAAUCAUGGUCAUAGUCAGUUUCUAGGAUGAUAUGAGAGCGCUUAUUAUCCAAUAAUACUUCAAACCUUCUCUUAUAACAACAGAUGUAGCCACUAGAUUAGUAGAAUCUAGGAUCUUCACUCCUUUAGCAACUAUCAAGUUGUCAUUAGUUUCUCUCAAACAAAAUGGAGGAGGUCCCAUCUGUGUUACAUUUCAGCCAAACAGUUGGAGGGAUCCAUCUAUCAAGCAAAAUAGAUUUGACAUAUUAUAAAUUCUUCUGAGCCACUAGUUAAAUAAUGUAUUUUAAAUCCAUAAAUUAGGAGGUGUAAGAUAGUGUCAAGAGUUACACUGAUGCUAGGUUGCCAUUCAUUUUUUGGCCAUGGUUUUGGAUAUGACGAGUUACGUGAUGAGUAUAAAAUAGUUAUUAUCUCCAAUAAAUUUAAACUUAUUAAGUUCAAACCUACAAAUGGAUGACACUUGGUGAACAUGUAGGGAUUUUCAAGGCUCUUUUAUAAAUUGCUCACCUAAUGUGUAAUGGGGAGGCUUUAUUGGAAAUCUUUAGGUGAGAACAAUGGCUACAAGAUUAGUCGUAACAUUGUUUCUUUUGAUUUAGGUAAUGAGACAUGGGAUAAGGUGGAGCAACCCAAUAUGAAGAGGGUGUUAUUCGAUUUAAAGAGGAAGUGAUCUAUCGUACUCUGUAGCUAUGAGAGACAUCAUUCUGAUAUGUGGGUGAUGAACGAUUUUGGGGUUGAAGCAUUGGAAAAGGAUUUUUACCAUUGGUUGCCCUCCUUAUCCUAGGGUGAGUCAAUCAAAUGAGUACAAGUUCCUGAACUUAUGGGGGGUGUUUUGAGGCAGAAAUCUUUGUUGAAAGCUUGGUUAACCCUUUGUUGAUAGGUGCUCAGGAACAUGAUAAUAAUAAAGGCUGAAAAUUAUGUCGUCGAUUACUUGUAAGUGUUAAAACUUUAUAUAAUUAUUGGUUUGGUUCAGUUAUUUUUGAUGGCCAAACCAAAUAUUACUGAUUUUUGAAAAUGUAAAAGUCAAAUCAAAUAAAGUUUGACCUCUUUAAUCGAUUUUUCGACUUGGGUCGAUUUUGACCCAAACCGUGAGCUGGGGGUGUGCAUUGAUCAAUUUGGUUCUGGUUUUUGUAUUAUCAAUUCGAUUUGUCGGUUUUAAUUUUUAAAUAUUUUAAAUUUAAUAACUAAACCAAUAAGAUAUUCUUAUCAGUUUUCAGUUUAUCAAUUCUUAGACCUUGAUGGUUCGAUUUCUUAGUUGCAGGCAAAAUCCUAUAUGAUAUGUUUUAAUUUAUAUAAUAUUGAACGUCAGUUCAAAAAAUUUAAUAGGUUUGUUAGUUUACAGAAAUUAAAGAGCAAUUAAGAGAAAUAAUGUGUGUGUAUCUAUAAUAUAUUAAAAGUGUAAAGACCCUUAGAAAAGUGAUUUGAACCUUUUACUCUUUAUUAAAAGACUCUUUUUUAGAUAAAACUGUUUUUUCACUAUUUCUUAAAUUUAUUAUUUAAUUAUUUUUUAUUAUAUUAACUAGACUUUCUAAAAUAUAUGGGAUUUCAAAAAUAUAUGGUAGGAAAAUUAAAUAAUAUUUUACUUUCUAAAAUAUACGGGACUCCUAAAAUAUAUGGUAGGAGAAUUAAUUAAUAUUUUUCUUUCUAUUGUUCAAUUAGAAAGUUACUCCUAAAAUAGGAUUCUAUUAAGGAAAUACUUCUAUAAAUAUUGAGAUGUACGUUAAACUAGAGAACCAACUGGUUUGCCUAUAUAUAUAUAUUUCUUUAUUUUCAUUCAAAAUCAUUCUUUAGGAUCAAGAUUUUCGCUCAGACAAGAAUUAGUUGGAUCAAAAUCGAAGCUUUGUGAUCACUGUUAUUUUUUUUGCCAAACUCAUCGGCAGCCCCUGAACUUGGCACAAUCUUUCACUUUGGCACCUCAAGUGGACGUUGUUCACUUUUGGCACUUUAUGUAGCUAUAAGUUUGUCAUUUUGACACCUUUUGCUGAUUCAGCAAAGAGAUUGUAUUACACUCGCUUUUAAGCGAGUUUCAAGGGUAUUUUCAUAAUAUUUUCAUCUUCCUUCUCUUUCUUCCUCACUCUUUCAAUCCAUUUUUUCCCUUUCCUUGACACAUCCAUACACGAAUUUCUCCUUCAUUGAUCUAAUUAACAGAGAAAAAAAAAAAGAAAGAAGCAAGGU